rnacentral:rRNA from 1 species
AUGGCCUCCUAUGACGGCGAGGACGACUCCGGCCGGCGGCGCCCGCCGCCGCAGCAGCACCGCCCGUCCGGCGGGGGCAGCGGCGACCUCGCCGCCAGCGCCAAGCUGGUGGCGGAGGCGGCCAAGGCGGCGCUCCAGGACCACAACCUGGGGAAGGUCGACAAGGGCCGCACCGCCGAGGCCGCCGCCGACCUGCUCCACGCGGCCUCCCUCUACGGCAAGCUCGAGGGCAAGCCCGUCGGCGGCUACCUCAACAAGGCCGAGGACUACCUCCACAAGUUCGGCGCCAAGGAGGGGGGCAGCGGAGGCGGCAAGCACCAGCCCAGUGGUCACGGGGGUUCAGGCGGCAGGUACGAGGAGGAGGAUGAGUACAGGAAGAAGCCUACUAGUGGUGGUGGGAGGUACGAACAGGAUGAUGAUGAGUACAAGAAGAAGCCCAGCGGUGAUGGGAGGUAUGAAGAGGAUGAUGAGUACAGGAAGAAGCCUACUGGUGGUGGUGGUGACUACGGAGGUGGAAGGUAUGAGGAAGAAGAUGAGUACAAGAAGAAGCCUAGCAGUGGUGGCUAUGGUGGGGGGAGGUAUGAGCAAGAAGAUGACUUCAAGAGGCCUCCUAGUGGUGGUGGUGGUGGCGGCUAUGGUGGGGGAAGGUAUGAAGACGAUGAUGAGUACAAGAAGAAGCCUAGUGCUGGUGGAUAUGGAGGUGGAGGAGGGAGAUACGAAGAUGAGUACAAGAAGAAGCCAACCGGUGGCCAUGGUGGAGGGAGGUAUGAGGAAGAUGAUGAGUACAAGAGGCCUAGUGGUGGAAGCCAUGGAGGGAGGUAUGAAGAAGAGGACUACAAGAAGAAGCCUAGUGGUGGAGGAAGGUAUGAAGAAGAGGACUACAAGAAGAAGCCUAGUGGUGGAGGAAGGUAUGAAGAAGAUGACUACAAGAAGAAGCCUAGUGGUGGAAGCCAUGGAGGGAAGGAUGAGUCAGAAGGCGGUGGCAUUGGAGACUACUUAAAGCUUGCAGAGGGGUUCAUGAAGAAGCGUUGA